rnacentral:rRNA from 1 species
AUUGAACGCUGGCGGCAUGCCUUACACAUGCAAGUCGAACGGUAACAGCACUUCGGUGGCUGACGAGUGGCGAACGGGUGAGUAAUACAUCGGAACGUGCCCGAGAGUGGGGGAUAACGCAGCGAAAGCUGUGCUAAUACCGCAUACGAUCUACGGAUGAAAGCAGGGGACCGCAAGGCCUUGCGCUCAUGGAGCGGCCGAUGGCAGAUUAGGUAGUUGGUGGGAUAAAAGCUUACCAAGCCGACGAUCUGUAGCUGGUCUGAGAGGACGACCAGCCACACUGGGACUGAGACACGGCCCAGACUCCUACGGGAGGCAGCAGUGGGGAAUUUUGGACAAUGGGGGAAACCCUGAUCCAGCCAUGCCGCGUGCAGGAUGAAGGCCUUCGGUUGUAAACUGCUUUGUACGGUAACGAAAGGUACUUUCUUAAUAAAGUAAGAACUACAUGACGGUACCGUAAGAAUAAGACACCGGCUAACUAACGUGCCAGCAGCCGACC